AGAGUUUGAUCAUGGCUCAGAGUGAACGCUGGCGGUGCGCCUAAGACAUGCAAGUCGAGUGGGUUUAGACCCACGGCGAACGGCUGCGUAACACAUGGGUACCUACCCCGAACUCAGGAAUAACCUCCCGAAAGGGAGGCUAAUGCCGGAUAGUCCCGCAAGGGUAAAGCUUUUGCGGUUCGGGAGGGGCCAGUGGCCUAUCAGUUAGUUGGUGAGGUAACGGCUCACCAAGACAAUGACGGGUAGCUGGUCUGAGAGGACGACCAGCCAGAAUGGAACUGAGACACGGUCCAUACUCCUACGGGAGGCAGCAGUUAGGAAUCUUCCACAAUGGGCGAAAGCCUGAUGGAGCGACACCGCGUGAAGGAUGAAGCCUUUAACUAGGUGUAAACUUCUGUUAUGAGGGACGAAAUUUUUGACGGUACCUCAUGAGAAAGCACCGGCUAAUUCUGUG
rnacentral:rRNA from 1 species